UUCGAGAAGGUUAGCUCAGCCGGGUUUGGAUGUCCCGGUUCAAGCCUGUAGUCGUGCCUGGUAGGUAAAUCCGCCGGGCUUAGAUGAGGGGUGACAACGAGGCGGCUUGCCGUCGAAGUGAGUAAUACCCUGCUUCCAGGAAAAGCCACUAAGCUUCAGCUGCACACGACCGUACCGCAAACCGACACUGGUGCGCGAGAUGAGUAUUCUAAGGCGCUUGAGAGAACUCGGGAGAAGGAACUCGGCAAAUUGACACCGUAACUUCGGAAGAAGGUGUGCCUUUAGUAGGUGAACCUGUACAAGGGGAGCCCAAUGAGGUUGCAAAAAAUCGGUGGCUGCGACUGUUUAAUAAAAACACAGCACUCUGCAAACACGAAAGUGGACGUAUAGGGUGUGACGCCUGCCCGGUGCUGGAAGAUUAAAUGAUGGGGUGCAAGCUCUUGAUUGAAGUCCCAGUAAACGGCGGCCGUAACAAUAACGGUCCUAAGGUAGCGAAAUUCCUUGUCGGGUAAGUUCCGACCUGCACGAAUGGCGUAACGAUGGCCACACUGUCUCCUCCCGAGACUCAGCGAAGUUGAAAUGUUUGUGAUGAUGCAAUCUCCCCGCGGAAAGACGGAAAGACCCCAUGAACCUUUACUGUAGCUUUGUAUUGGACUUUGAACAGAUCUGUGUAGGAUAGGUGGGAGGCUUUGAAGCAGGGUCGCUAGAUCUUGUGGAGCCAACGUUGAAAUACCACCCUGGUGUGUUUGAGGUUCUAACCUAGGCCCGUAAUCCGGGUCGGGGACAGUGCAUGGUAGGCAGUUUGACUGGGGCGGUCUCCUCCCAAAGCGUAACGGAGGAGUUCGAAGGUACGCUAGUUACGGUCGGACAUCGUGACGAUAGUGCAAUGGCAUAAGCGUGCUUAACUGCGAGACUGACAAGUCGAGCAGAUGCGAAAGCAGGACAUAGUGAUCCGGUGGUUCUGUAUGGAAGGGCCAUCGCUCAACGGAUAAAAGGUACUCUGGGGAUAACAGGCUGAUACCGCCCAAGAGUUCAUAUCGACGGCGGUGUUUGGCACCUCGAUGUCGGCUCAUCUCAUCCUGGGGCUGUAGCCGGUCCCAAGGGUAUGGCUGUUCGCCAUUUAAAGAGGUACGUGAGCUGGGUUUAAAACGUCGUGAGACAGUUUGGUCCCUAUCUUCCGUGGGCGCUGCAGAUUUGAAGAAGCCUGCUCCUAGUACGAGAGGACCGGAGUGGACGCACCUCUGGUGUAUCGGUUGUCACGCCAGUGGCAUUGCCGAGUAGCUAUGUGCGGAAGAGAUAACCGCUGAAAGCAUCUAAGCGGGAAACUCGUUCUAAGAUGAGAUCUGCCGGGGCCUUGAGCCCCCUGAAGAGUCGUUCAAGACCAGGACGUUGAUAGGUCAGGUGUGGAAGCGCAGUAAUGCGUUAAGCUAACUGAUACUAAUUGCUCGUGCGGCUUGACCC
rnacentral:rRNA from 1 species